UGUUAUCAUCCAGAAACAUGCAGCUGUUAAUAGGAGCCUCGGAACUUUCCUUUCAGUUCCCUGUAGCACCACCACUCCAAGAAAAUCAGCAGCGGCUCGCAGCAAAGUCUAGUUUGACAUCACUGGAAUCCCAUCUUGAUACAGUGAGAACUUCUGCUUGUUUUAAAGCACCAUUAUCCUAACAUUCGGUGGACAAAUAAUUUAUUGUAUAAUUUUCAAAGAUG